rnacentral:rRNA from 1 species
AACGAACGCUGGCGGCAGGCUUAACACAUGCAAGUCGAGCGCCCCGCAAGGGGAGCGGCAGACGGGUGAGUAACGCGUGGGAAUCUACCCAUCUCUACGGAAUAACGCAUGGAAACGUGUGCUAAUACCGUAUACGUCCUUCGGGAGAAAGAUUUAUCGGAGAUGGAUGAGCCCGCGUUGGAUUAGCUAGUUGGUGGGGUAAAGGCCUACCAAGGCGACGAUCCAUAGCUGGUCUGAGAGGAUGAUCAGCCACACUGGGACUGAGACACGGCCCAGACUCCUACGGGAGGCGGCAGUGGGGAAUAUUGGACAAUGGGCGCAAGCCUGAUCCAGCCAUGCCGCGUGAGUGAUGAAGGCCCUAGGGUUGUAAAGCUCUUUCACCGGUGAAGAUAAUGACGGUAACCGGAGAAGAAGCCCCGGCUAACUUCGUGCCAGCAGCCGCAGUAAUAC